CGUAGGUGGCAAGCGUUGUCCGGAUUUAUUGGGUUUAAAGGGUGCGUAGGUGGCUAUUUAAGUCAGCGGUGAAAUAUCUCAGCUUAACUGAGAGGGUGCCAUUGAUACUGGAUAGCUUGAGUACAGAUGAGGUAGGCGGAAUUGACGGUGUAGCGGUGAAAUGCAUAGAUAUCGUCAAGAACACCGAUAGCGAAGGCAGCUUACCAAGCUGUAACUGACACUGAGGCACGAAAGUGUGGGGAUCAAACAGGAUUAGAUACCCUGGUAGUCCACACUGUAAACGUUGAUGACUCGAUGUUGGCGAUACACAGCCAGCGUCCAAGAGCAAUCGUUAAGUCAUCCACCUGGGGAGUACGCCGGCAACGGUG
rnacentral:rRNA from 1 species